UACGUAGGGUGCAAGCGUUGUCCGGAAUUAUUGGGCGUAAAGAGCUCGUAGGUGGCCUGUCGCGUCGGCUGUGAAAACUCGGGGCUCAACUCCGAGCUUGCAGUCGAUACGGGCAGGCUAGAGUUCGGCAGGGGAGACUGGAAUUCCUGGUGUAGCGGUGAAAUGCGCAGAUAUCAGGAGGAACACCGGUGGCGAAGGCGGGUCUCUGGGCCGAUACUGACACUGAAGAGCGAAAGCGUGGGGAGCGAACGGG
rnacentral:rRNA from 1 species